UAGAACAGUAUAGGUAUUACCACCAUCUCUUGUUAGAUCAUUUUUCUUUGCUCAUGAUUUACCUAGUCCGGUUGAUUAAAAUUCAUAGUUACUAGUGGCUUGCAAAUGCUGUAUUGUUGAUAACGCGAUUUUCAAGUUUUAAUGUUUACGAAUUGCGAAUUUUAUUGAAAUCGCGUAAUUACAAACAAAGCAUCUCGUGGAUUCUACGAUGUCAAAGUGGUUUAUGUUUAUAGUCCUGUCUUUGAUAGCUGAAAUUUUCUCCGACCGAAAACUUGGCAAUAUGCAUUCCAGCAAGUGCCGCGUGUUCCUCCGUAAUAAUGGGCCAGUUUACGCUGGAAGCAGCAUUACAUUUACUGCCACUCCCAUCGACGUUAAUAAUGGCGAACCCGGCGUCAUUAAUGCUGUAUAUGGUAAUGGUGAUGGUGUUUGCACAUAUGAAUGGAAAGAUAACUACGAACCCCCGCAUCAUUUCAAGGGGAUCAUGAUGGGUGGUUGGACCGUAUCAUAUCCGGCCGAUGCAUUCAAACCCGGCAUAUAUACAGUAGAAGUAUGGGUUAACUGCACUACUCUUAGAGAUUCGAGCGUGUGUAGCGACAAAACAAAUUUCGAAUUGAAGAGAACUAGUAUAAUAUUAUUUAUGAUUUAAUGAAAAUAAUACCUAUCAAUAUCUCUUUGUAUAAAUAGAAAAUGAUUACACGGAAGAACUGUUACCCUUUAUAAGCAUUUCCACUUUUGGUACCUACCCCUAAAAUAAGAGUACAUUGGGUAACAUUUAUUUUCUGUAAGCCUGGGUACAAUUUAGGGAGUGGACAGCGAAAAAAAAACCACAGGAACUUGACCGAAUUCUGCAGGGAUCUUCAUUUUUCGAAUUGAAAGUAGCUUAGAAAAAAAUGUCAUCUAGGGAGGUGUCAUAGGAGAGAUAAUAUGGCUUCUUAAGGAGGGCGCAUUUUCGAAAAAAUCAUAACCCAGUUCCGAAAGAUAUUAUUCAAGAUUAAUCCUAAACGACGCAAUUCAAUCAUUCAAAUGAAAAGUAUGGUUCAAAUCCAGUAUAAUUAGGUAGUUUGG